UACGAAGGGGGCUAGCGUUGUUCGGAUUUACUGGGCGUAAAGCGCACAUAGGCGGAUCGUUAAGGUCGGGGGUGAAAUCCUGGAGCUCAACUCCAGAACUGCCUUCGAUACUGGCGAUCCUUGAGUCCGGAAGAGGUGAGUGGAACUCCUAGUGUAGAGGUGGAAUUCGUAGAUAUUAGGAAGAACACCAGUGGCGAAGGCGGCUCACUGGACAGUGACUGACGCAUGAGACGCGAAAGCGUGGGUAGCAAACAGG
rnacentral:rRNA from 1 species